GUUAGCAAUUCUGAGUGGGUAAGUAAUCCAACAAGAUCCCACAGCAAACAUCUCUUGGGUGACUGGACCAAUAAUGAAAGAAAGCAGAGAUGGCAUUUCAGCUGGGUGUACAACCAAAUCUGCAAUAUCUCUGAGGUCUGCCUCUGUGGAGUUCUUUUGAAAAACUGUAAAAGAGAAUGUGAACAAGGCAUGGAUAGCCUGGUUCUGGGUGUGCAAAGCUGUGGCUUCCCCUCCUAUGGACGCCUUCUGAACAGGAGAUCUGACUUCCUCCCCAAACCAAGGCAUCCUGAAAACAUUCGAACAGAGGAAGCAUUUUUUCACCAUGACAUAGGAAAGGGCCACAGAGAUCCAAGUGGAAACGGACAUUUCAUAUGCUUCCAUUCUGAACUUGCGGAACAUAGCUGUUGGAGAGCACAAAUGUUGUUUUAAUUCCUCAUGGGAAGUCAAAAUGUCCUUAGAGAAGUCACCCUAGAGCCAUCCUUAGAAAUGGCAUGCUGUAGA